rnacentral:rRNA from 1 species
GACGAACGCUGGCGGCGUGCCUAAUACAUGCAAGUAGGACGCACAGUUUAUACCGUAGCUUGCUACACCAUAGACUGUGAGUUGCGAACGGGUGAGUAACGCGUAGGUAACCUGCCUAUUAGAGGGGGAUAACUAUUGGAAACGAUAGCUAAUACCGCAUAACAGUAUGUAACACAUGUUAGAUGCUUGAAAGAUGCAAUUGCAUCGCUAGUAGAUGGACCUGCGUUGUAUUAGCUAGUAGGUAGGGUAAAGGCCUACCUAGGCAACGAUACAUAGCCGACCUGAGAGGGGGAUCGGCCACACUGGGACUGAGACACGGCCCAGACUCCUACGGGAGGCAGCAGUAGGGAAUCUUCGGCAAUGGGGGGAACCCUGACCGAGCAACGCCGCGUGAGUGAAGAAGGUUUUCGGAUCGUAAAGCUCUGUUGUUAAGGAAGAACGAGUGUGAGAAUGGAAAGUUCAUGCUGUGACGGUACUUAACCAGAAAGGGACGGCUAACUACGUGCCAGCAGCCGCGGUAA